GCGCUCGUGGCGGAAUUGGUAGACGCGCAAGGUUGAGGGCCUUGUGGACUGAUUGGUCCGUGGAGGUUCGAGUCCUCUCGGGCGCA
rnacentral:tRNA from 1 species